AAAUUUACAAAAUGGAGAAGAUGAGGAAGUAGAACAUGAAGUAGACAAUGUAGAAAUGGAGAACAUGAAGAGGAAGUAUAAAAUGGAGAUUAUUACCUUGGGGAGAAGUUACAAACGCCCUUGAGGAGAACUUUGAACACCUUGGGAGAAGUUUGGGAGAGUUUGGGAGAGUUUGGAGAGUUUGGGAGAGUGUGGAGUAGGAGGAAACCGUUGGGAGAAAUGAGAAAAGUCUGAAAAUUUUUUACUUAUAUAAAAAAUUUCCGACGGCCAGGCCGCCGGGAAACACUUAAGUUCGAGUUGACUAAGUUUGACUGUACGGGGGACCACGGCGGCGCAAGUUGUAAUUUUAGGGUUUCCAAAAAAUCCUGGCGGCCAGGCCGCCGGCUACUGAAAAAAAUAAGCGGGAAAAAGUAUCCAGCGGCCAAGCCGCCAGCUAUUUUUCUUCCCG
rnacentral:lncRNA from 1 species